UGCGGCGUGGCCUAAUACAUGCAAGUCGAACGCACUCUCGUUUAGAUUGAAGGAGCUUGCUCCUGAUUGAUAAACAUUUGAGUGAGUGGCGGACGGGUGAGUAACACGUGGGUAACCUGCCCUAAAGUGGGGGAUAACAUUUGGAAACAGAUGCUAAUACCGCAUAAAACCUAACACCGCAUGGUGUAGGGUUGAAAGAUGGUUUCGGCUAUCACUUUAGGAUGGACCCGCGGUGCAUUAGUUAGUUGGUGAGGUAAAGGCUCACCAAGACCGUGAUGCAUAGCCGACCUGAGAGGGUAAUCGGCCACACUGGGACUGAGACACGGCCCAGACUCCUACGGGAGGCAGCAGUAGGGAAUCUUCCACAAUGGACGAAAGUCUGAUGGAGCAACGCCGCGUGAGUGAAGAAGGUUUUCGGAUCGUAAAACUCUGUUGUUGGAGAAGAAUGUAUCUGAUAGUAACUGAUCAGGUAGUGACGGUAUCCAACCAGAAAGCCACGGCUAACUACGUGCCAGCAGCCGCGGUAAUACGUAGGUGGCAAGCGUUGUCCGGAUUUAUUGGGCGUAAAGCGAGCGCAGGCGGUUUCUUAAGUCUGAUGUGAAAGCCUUCGGCUCAACCGAAGAAGUGCAUCGGAAACUGGGAAACUUGAGUGCAGAAGAGGACAGUGGAACUCCAUGUGUAGCGGUGAAAUGCGUAGAUA
rnacentral:rRNA from 2 species